rnacentral:rRNA from 1 species
GAAGGAUCCAAGCGUUAUCCGGAUUUAUUGGGUUUAAAGGGUGCGUAGGCGGGCUAUUAAGUCAGUGGUGAAAGCCCCAAGCUUAACUUGGGAAUUGCCAUUGAUACUGAUGGUCUUGAGUACACUUGAAGUGGGCGGAAUGUGUCAUGUAGCGGUGAAAUGCUUAGAUAUGACACAGAACACCGAUUGCGAAGGCAGCUCACUAAAUUGUAACUGACGCUGAGGCACGAAAGCGUGGGGAUCAAACAGGAUUAGAUACCCUGGUAGUCCACGCCCUAAACGAUGAUUACUCGAUGUGUGCAAUACACCGUACGCGUCUGAGCGAAAGCAUUAAGUAAUCCACCUGGGGAGUACGACCGCAAGGUUG